rnacentral:rRNA from 1 species
GUAGUUGGAUCUUGGCUCGCGACGGUCGGAUCGUCAUCCUGGCGAAUCCCAGACCGAUCCGAGCAGAAAUCGCUGGUACGUCCGUCGGUGCUCUUCAUCGAGUGUCGGCGGAUGGCCGGUACGUUUACUUUGAAAAAAUUAGAGUGCUCAAAGCAGGCGAUGGUGCCGGAAUAAUAGUGCAUGGAAUAAUGGAAUAGGAUCUCGGUUCUAUUUUGUUGGUUCUCGGAACUCGAGAUAAUGAUUAAUAGGAACAGACGGGGGCAUUCGUAUUGCGACGUUAGAGGUGAAAUUCUUGGAUCGUCGCAAGACGGACUACUGCGAAAGCAUUUGCCAAGAAUGUUUUCAUUAAUCAAGAACGAAAGUUAGAGGUUCGAAGGCGAUCAGAUACCGCCCUAGUUCUAA